GACAGAGGCCCCAAGCGUUAGGCGGAAUCACUGGGCUUAAAGCGUGUGUAGGCGGAUCGUUAAGUGUCUUGUGAAAGCCCCGGGCUCAACCUGGGAAUGGCAGUGGAAACUAGGGGACUGGAAUCUGGCAGAGGGGGGUGGAAUGCCGCGUGUAGCAGUGAAAUGCGUAGAGAUGCGGCGGAACACCGAUGGCGAAGGCAGCCCCCUGGGCUGAGAUUGACGCUCAGGCACGAAAGCGUGGGGAGCAAACAGG
rnacentral:rRNA from 1 species